GAUGAACGCUAGCUACAGGCUUAACACAUGCAAGUCGAGGGGAAACGGCAUUGAGUGCUUGCACUCUUUGGACGUCGACCGGCGCACGGGUGAGUAACGCGUAUCCAACCUUCCCAUUACCGUGGGAUAACCUGCCGAAAGGCAGACUAAUACCGCAUAGUCUUCGAUGACGGCAUCAGAUUUGAAGUAAAGAUUUAUCGGUAAUGGAUGGGGAUGCGUCUGAUCAGCUUGUUGGCGGGGUAACGGCCCACCAAGGCAACGAUCAGUAGGGGUUCUGAGAGGAAGGUCCCCCACAUUGGAACUGAGACACGGUCCAAACUCCUACGGGAGGCAGCAGUGAGGAAUAUUGGUCAAUGGGCGAGAGCCUGAACCAGCCAAGUAGCGUGCAGGAUGACGGCCCUAUGGGUUGUAAACUGCUUUUGUAUGGGGAUAAAGUCAAUCACGUGUGA
rnacentral:rRNA from 1 species